UUGGCUAAUGUGUCUUGGCUAAUGUGUCUUGGCUAAUAUGUCUCGGCUAAUGUGUCUUGGCUAAUGUGUCUUGGCUAAUGUGUCUUGGCUAAUGUGUCUUGGCUAAGGUGUCUUGGCUAAUGUGUCUUGGCUAAUGUGUCUUGGCUAAUGUGUCUUGGCUAAGGUGUCUUGGCUAAUGUGUCUUGGCUAAGGUGUCUUGGCUAAGGUGUCUUGGCUAAGGUGUCUUGGCUAAGGUGUCUUGGCUAAUGUGUCUCGGCUAAAGUGUCUUGGCUAAGGUGUCUUGGCUAAGGUGUCUUGGCUAAGGUGUCUUGGCUAAGGUGUCUUGGCUAAUGUGUCUCGGCUAAGGUGUCUCGGCUAAAGUGUCUUGGCUAAUGUGUCUCGGCUAAGGUGUCUUGGCUAAUGUGUCUCGGCUAAGGUGUCUCGGCUAAAGUGUCUUGGCUAAGGUGUCUCGGCUAAGGUAUCUUGGCUAAUGUGUCUUGGCUAAGGUGUCUUGGCUAAGGUGUCUUGGCUAAGGUGUCUUGGCUAAUGUGUCUUGGCUAAUGUGUCUUGGCUAAGGUGUCUUGGCUAAGGUGUCUUAUCUAAUGUGUCUUGGCUAAAGUGUCUUGGCUUAGGUGUCUUGGCUUAGGUGUCUUGGCUAAUGUGUCUUGGCUAAUGUGUCUUGGCUAAGGUGUCUUGGCUAAUGUGUCUUGGCUAAGGUGUCUUGGCUAAAGUGUCUUGGCUAAGGUAUCUUGGUCAAUGUGUCUUGGCUAAGGUGUCUUGGCUAAUGUGUCUUGGCUAAUGUGUCUUGGCUAAUGUGUCUUGGCUUAUGUGUCUUGGCUAAGGUGUCUUGGCUAAUGUGUCUUGGCUAAUGUGUCUUGGCUAAGGUGUCUUGGCUAAUGUGUCUUGGCUAAGGUGUCCUGGCUAAGGUGUCUUGGCUAAGGUGUCUUGACUAAUGUGUCUCGGCUAAGGUGUCUUGGCUAAUGUGUCUCGGCUAAGGUGUCUUGGCUAAAGUGUCUUGGCUAAGGUGUCUUGGCUAAUGUGUCUUGGCUAAAGUGUCUUGGCUAAGGUGUCUUGGCUAAUGUGUCUCGGCUAAGGUGUCUUGGCUAAGGUGUCUUGGCUAAGGUGUCUCGGCUAAUGUGUCUUGGCUAAGGUGUCUUGGCUAAGGUGUCUUGGCUAAGGUGUCUUGGCUAAUGUGUCUCGGCUAAGGUGUCUUGGCUAAUGUGUCUUGGCUAAGGUGUCUUGGCUAAUGUGUCUUGGCUAAGGUGUCUUGGCUAAUGUGUCUUGGCUAAUGUGUCUCGGCUAAAGUGUCUUGGCUAAGGUGUCUUGGCUAAGGUGUCUUGGCUAAGGUGUCUUGGCUAAUGUGUCUUGGCUAAGGUGUCUUGGCUAAGGUGUCUUGGCUAAUGUGUCUUGGCUAAAGUGUCUUGGCUAAGGUGUCUUGGCUAAUGUGUCUUGGCUAAGGUGUCUUGGCUAAGGUGUCUUGGCUAAUGUGUCUUGGCUAGUGUGUCUUGGCUAAUGUGUCUUGGCUAAGGUGUCUUGGCUAAGGUGUCUUGGCUAAUGUGUCUUGGCUAAGGUGUCUUGGCUAAUGUGUCUUGGCUAAGGUGUCUUGGCUAAGGUGUCUUGGCUAAGGUGUCUUGGCUAAUGUGUCUCGGCUAAGGUGUCUUGGCUAA